rnacentral:rRNA from 1 species
CCUACGGGAGGCAGCAGUGGGGAAUAUUGGGCAAUGGGCGCAAGCCUGACCCAGCAACGCCGCGUGAAGGAAGAAGGCUUUCGGGUUGUAAACUUCUUUUCAGAGGGAAGAGCAGAAGACGGUACCUCUUUAAUAAGCCACGGCUAACUACGUGCCAGCAGCCGCGGUAAUCCGUAGGUAGCAAGCGUUGUCCGUAAUUACUGGGUGUAAAGGGCGUGUAGCCGGGCUGACAAGUCAGAUGUGAAAUCUCCGGGCUCAACCACGGAACUGCAUUUGAAACUGGCGGUCUUGAGGGUCGGAGAGGCAGGCGGAAUUCCUAGUGUAGCGGUGAAAUGCGUAGAUAUUAGGAGGAACACCAGUGGCGAAGGCGACCUGCUGGACGGCAACUGACGGUGAGGCGCGAAAGCGUGGGGAGCGAACAGGAUUAGAUACCCGAGUAGUC